rnacentral:lncRNA from 10 species
CUGGACACGCCACCUUUAAGAACUGUAACACUCACCGCGAGGGUCCGCGGCUUCAUUCUUGAAGUCAGUGAGACCAAGAACCCACCAAUUCCGGACACACUGGGAUUACAGGCGUGAGCCACCGCACCCGGCUUUUUUUUGGGGGGUGGUGGGGACGGAGUCUUGCUCUAUCGCCCAGGCUGGAGUGCAGUGGCACCAUCUGGGUUCACUGCAAUCUCUGCCUCCCAGAUUCAAGCGAUGCUCCUGCCUCAGCCUCCCGACUAGCUGGGACUAUAGGUAUAUGCCACCACACUGGGUUAAUUUUUGUAUUUUUGUAGAGACGGGGUUUCACCAUAUUGGCCAGGCUGGUCUCGAACUCCUGACCUCAUGAUCCGCCCUCCUCGGCCUCCCAAAGUGCUGGGAUUACAGGCGUGAGUCACCGUGCCCGGCCAGUUUAUAGGUUUAGAAACUGAAACUCUGGCUGUGGAGCUAGGAAGCAGCUUGCCCAGGAGGCAAAUGCAGGCCUGAUUCCAAGGCCCGGGCGCGGAGCUGCCAAGCUUUAUGGGUCCAGAGUCACUGGCAAGUCCUAAUAAUAGUAAUAAUUUACUGUAUGCCUCGCCUGCAUCAUUCUAAGUACCUUUCCGAUGCUGUCUCACAUACUUUUGUGGGAUGGGUAUCACUAUUGUCCUUGGGGUCCUCCCAAGGAGGUUAAGGCAUAAUGGGUGAAAAGUCUUGUCUAAGGUCCUCAGCUAGAAAGUGGUAGAAGCAGGACUUGAGCCCAGAUACAAAGUCCACACACAGGCUUCAACCACUCUGCCUUCCAGGAAGAGCUGGUAGUGUUUAAGAGUCUAGUCCAGAACACUGUCUCAACAGCAUCAUUAGAUCAGGGCUCCUAAUCCCUAGAACCCUGUGUAACACUGCAACCCUGGCCAGGCAUAGUGGUUCAAGCCUGUAAUUCCAGCACUUUUGGAGGCCAAGGUGAGAGGAUUGCUUGAGCCCAGGAGUUCGAGACCAGCCUAGGCAACAUAGUAAGAACCUAUCUUUACAAAAAACAAAAAAUUAGCCAGGCAUGGUGGUGAGCACCUGUAGUCCCAGCUCCUGGGGAGGCUGAGGCGGGAAGAUUAAUUGAGCCCGGGAGUUUGAGGCUGCAGUGAGCUAUGAUCACACCACUACACUCCAGCCUGGGUGACAGAGUGAGACCCUGUCUCCAAAUAUAUAAAUGCUCCCCUGCCUCCCUGUGGGGAUAGAUAGGGUAAGAGAACCCACUCAGAAAGAAAGGUUAAGAUGGCCUGGGUGGCUGUGGUACCCCAGGAGACUAAAAAAAGUUACGGUGAGAAAUGCUUGGACUGCAACUCUUGGUAAAAUCUGAUGCUGGCAGGUGGGCAUUUUGGAAAAUAAGUCCUUGGGGUGAUUCUCCUAGAGAUGGGCCUAGCUUGACAACAGGUAACAGAGCUGUGACGUCAGCUGAGCUCUGGCGGUUCUCACACUGCAGGAUUCCAACUACAAACCUAGACCGGGGAGGAACAGGCUCAGAAGUAGGUUUUCGCCGGGUGCAGUGGCUCAUGCUUGUAAUCCUAGCACUUUGGGAGGCCGAGGUGGGUGGAUCACAAGGUCAGGAGUUCGAGACCAGCCUGGCCAAGAAGGUGAAACCCUGUCUCUACUAAAAAUACAAAAAUUAGCUAUUCAGGAGGCCAAGGCAGGGGAAUUGCUUGAACCUGGAUGGCAGAGGUUGCAGUGAGCUGAGUUCAUGCCACUGCACUCCAGCCUGGGCGACAGAAUGAGACUCCGUCUCAAAAAAAAAAAAAAAAAAAAAAAGGUUUUCAAGCCAAGUCUCAGAAGGCACAGGAGGUGGUUGCUGUAGCAAUCAUCUUUUAUUUUAUUUAUUUGAGACAGAGUCUCGCUCUGUCGCCCAGGCCGGAGUGCAGUGGCAGGAUCUCAGCUCCUGACCUCAUAAUCCGCCUGCCUCGCCCUCCCAAAGUGGUGGGAUUACAGGGAUUACCGUGCCUGGCCAGCAGUCAUCUUUUACAAUGAACAAAUAGGGCUGGGCGCGGUGGCUCACAUCUGUAAUCCUAGCACUUUGGGAGAUGGGCAGAUCACGAGGUCAGGAGACCAGCCUGGCCAACAUGGUGAAACCUCGUCUCUACUAAAAAUACAAAAAUUAGCUGGGUGUGGUGAUGCACGCCUGUAAUCCUAGCUACUCAGGAGGUUGAGGCAGGAGAAUCGCUUGAACCCGGGAGGUGGAGGGAAACUGACGCACAAGGAGACUACGUACCUGCCCAAGUUACACAGCAGUGGAUUGGAAGCAGAGGUUCUGUUCCAGCAGCCACAUGUCCCCUCCAAGGUGAAGCUAUAAUACUGAUGCCUGAAUCUUUGGGGGAGGAGGCAAGUCAAGUGGGCAGAGAUUAUCCCUAUUUGAGACAAGUUUCAGAGAGGGGAAGUGACUUGACCAAUGUCACACGGCUGACAAACACUUAAAACUGAUGCUGGAACUGGAUCUUUUGCAUCUAAGCCAAGGGCUCUACUCACUGUUCCAAUCUACCACCAGUGCCCAAGCAUGGAGGGGACAGGGAUCUGGGCUGGUAAUAGGGACUUCCAGCCCAAGACAGGUGCAGUGAUGAUUCAGAGCCUCCUGAGAAUCAUCAAGUCUAGUAAAUUAUAAGUCGCAAUGACAAUUACAUCAGCUAAAGUUUAUGAUGCUUACUAUGUGCCAUUGUUCUAAGGCUCAAAAUGCAUUAACUUUUAAGCUGGGCGUGGUGGCUCAUGCCUAUAAUCCCAGCAUUUUGGGAGGCCGAGGCGGGUGGAUCAUUAAGGUCAGGAGUUUGAGACCAGCCUGGCCAACACGGUGAAACCCUGUCUCUACUGUGGCCGGGUGCAGUGGCUCACGCCUGUAAUCCUAGCAGUUUGGGAGGCCAAGGCGGGCAGAUCACUUGAGGUCAGGAGUUCGAAACCAGCCUGGUCAACAUGGUGAAAGACCGUCUCUACUAAAAAUACAAAAAAAUUAGCUGGGUGUGGUGGCUGGCGCCUGUAAUCCCAGCUACUUGGGAGGCUGAGGCAGAAUUGCUUGAACCUGGGAGGUAGAGGUUGCAGUGAGCCCAGAUCAUGCCACUGCACUCCCACCUGGGCAACAGAGUGAAAUUCCAUCUCAAAAAAAAAAAAAAAAAAAAAAAAAAAAAAGGCCAGGUGUGGUGGUGCAUGCCUGUAAUCCCAGCUAUUCAGGUAGCCAAGGUACGAGAAUUGCUUGAACCAAGGAGGUGGAGGUUGGAGGUUGCAGUGAGCUGAGACUGCCCCACUGAACUCCAGCCUAGGUAACAGAGACUGUCUCAAAAAAAAAAAAAAAAGCAUUAACUUUUAAUCUUCACAUACCCUAUGGUCCCCAGUAUACAGAUGAGGAAACGAAAGAGCUCAGAGUUCUGGGAAACACGCUCAAAAUCACGUCAGUAAGCUUUUCUGGUUCCCCAGGAGGAUGCUUACCAAAGCUUAGACAUGCUGGUGUGACACAGUCAAAUUGUAAAAACAGAAAGACACACACGUGGCCUUGCCUGGCAAUAAAUAUUUUAAUUUGUUUCAUUUUUAUGAUG